AGAUAGGGUAGAGGCAGAAGUAGACGCAAUUAAACAUGAAGGAUUGUGAAGGCAAAAGAUGAACCAGCCAGCCUAGUCUCUGGAUGCAUAAGCUCCAAGUGUGGAGGAGACCCGGAGAGAAAAGCAGACUGUUCUCUGUGUUUACCUGUAAGCACAGGCCGCAACCUGCCAUGCUGUUUUUAAAUGCCCAAGAGCUGGUGACAAGAGGGUUUCCCUUUGCCAUCUGGACCUGAUUGCCUUAGAGAGUGCUUUCCUUUAACUCCUCUCAAUUCAUCCUCCCAAAAC
rnacentral:lncRNA from 10 species